rnacentral:rRNA from 1 species
GGUUAAGCUGACGAGUGGCGAACGGGUGAGUAAUGUAUCGGAACGUGCCCAGUCGUGGGGGAUAACUGCUCGAAAGAGCAGCUAAUACCGCAUACGACCUGAGGGUGAAAGCGGGGGAUCGCAAGACCUCGCGCGAUUGGAGCGGCCGAUAUCAGAUUAGGUAGUUGGUGAGGUAAAGGCUCACCAAGCCGACGAUCUGUAGCUGGUCUGAGAGGACGACCAGCCACACUGGGACUGAGACACGGCCCAGACUCCUACGGGAGGCAGCAGUGGGGAAUUUUGGACAAUGGGCGCAAGCCUGAUCCAGCCAUGCCGCGUGCGGGAAGAAGGCCUUCGGGUUGUGAACCGCUUUUGUCAGGGAAGAAAAGGUUCUGGCUAAUACCUGGGACUCAUGACGGUACCUGAAGAAUAAGCACCGGCUAACUACGUGCCAGCAGCCGCGGUAAUACGUAGGGUGCAAGCGUUAAUCGGAAUUACUGGGCGUAAAGCGUGCGCAGGCGGUUAUGCAAGACAGAGGUGAAAUCCCCGGGCUCAACCUGGGAACUGCCUUUGUGACUGCAUGGCUAGAGUACGGUAGAGGGGGAUGGAAUUCCGCGUGUA